UUUUAGUCACUGUUCAAUACUAAGGGACUUAGAUAUACCUGCCAGCUCUUUUUCUCUAACAAGUAGGGUGGUGAGUCCUAUUGACUGAGUAAGGCCAUCCAUCCUACAAUUUGCUCAUUCCCUUGAUUCCUGCUGAUCCUUGACAUGGUUGAUGUUUGGAUUUCUGCUGGCUGUUGGAAGAUUGAUCUGGUAAUGACAUCGAUGAUGUUGAUACCUUUAUUUUGGGCCAAGGAAAUCCCUCACUCAAGAGGAUUUCGUGUACCAGUUCCAGGUGAUUGAUACUUUACUAACAGCAUGGAGCAAGUCUCAGAUACUUCUACAAUGGCCAGGAAUUUUCUCCACUUGGACUGCUAUGUGGUCCAGCCCAGAGUGACCAUCUCUCCUUUCAAGACAGAGGACCUUAUAUCCCAAAGAGAUCUUAAAGGAAGGAAAUAUGUGCAAAAAUGUUGGUGGCAGCCCGUUUUGUAGAGGCAAGAAAAUGGAAACUGAAUGGAUGCCCAUCAAUUGGAGAAUGCUUGGGUAAAUUGUGGUAUAUGAAUGUUAUGGAAUAUUAUUGUUUUGUAAAAAAUGACCAGCAGGAUGAAUACAGAGAGGCUUGGAGAAAACUUACAUGAACUGAUGCUGAAUGAAAUGAGCAGAAUCAGAAGAUGAUUAUAUACUUCAACAACAAUACUGUAUGAGGAUCAAUUCCAAUGGAAGUGUAUAUCUUCGGCAAUGAGAAGAUCCAAUUCAGUUCCAAUGAAUAUGGACUACUUGCAUUUUUGUUUUUUUUUUUUCGCAGGUUAUUUUUACCUUUCUGAAUCUGAUUUUUCUUGUGCAGCAAGAGAACUGUACAAAUAUGUACACAUAUAUUGCAUUUAAGAUAUACUUUAACAUGUUUAAUAUGUAUGAGACUGCCAUCUAGGGGAGGGGAUGGAGGGAAGGAAGGGAAAAGUUGGAACAGAAGUGAUUGCAAGGGACAAUGUUGAAAAAUUACUCAUGCAUAUGUACUGUCAAUAAAAAGUUAUAAUAAAAAAAUUAAAGUAAAAUUUUUCACAAGAAAAGAAAAAGCUAAAAAAAAAAAAAAGAAAGACAGAGGUUUUACAGCACCUGUUGCUCUGCUCUCUCACCAGCUUCUAUCCUAAACAAGAUCAAGGUCACCUGAUUCAAGAAUGGAUCAGAGGAAACAGCUUGGAUUGUGUCCAUAAAUCUGAUACAGAAUAGAGACUGGACCUACUAGACCCUGGUCCUGUAGGAAAUGAUUCUCCAUAGCAGAGAUGUCUACACAUACACUGUGGGUCAGUGCACAGAGCUUCAUCAGUGUGUAAUGGAGUGAGAACCAAUUCCUUUAUUCUAUCCCCAGCCUGAAAUCCUAGUCCUUAAACAGGAUCCCCCAUCUUUAAAUCCUAGGACAGGGUAGCUUCUAAUUCUGGAAGUCCUUCAGUGAAUGUUUCCAAAGAUCCCAUGCCGACCUAUGCUCUUGACCAUAUGUAUUCUGCUCUCUCAAUGCAGCAUUGAGCUAGCAUCCACAGAGCCUUGGUGCUGUUUGGGACAAAGACACCUCCCCAAAUUGACUACUCAGAGAUCACUCAUAAAAAGCAGAAUUAUUUAUUAGAAUCUCGAGAAGCAGACCACCUUCCCCUGCCCCCCCCAUCUGUGGGCCAAAGCCCACAGCAGGAGAGAGUCACUCCCUUGAGAGUGCUCACAGCUUUUAUACAUUUCAGACAAAGAACUCCAAAAAUCCCACCUCUAUGUGGUGUGAUUGGUCACAUAAGUCUCUAUUCCCCUCUUUGGUCAGUGGAAUGUAGUAGAUGUACAGCUUCUUCACCAGUAUCCUUCUUUGGGUAAUGGAAUGUAGUCCAGGCCUUAUCUAAAGGGCUUCAGGAGAGGCCAAAACUGAGGCCUCUAAGGCUUCAAUUAAUUCAGCUAAUAGUCUCUGAUCAAGAUGUGCUUGAUCUGUAAGUUCUUCACCUUUUGCACCCAGUGCUUUCUGGAAAUAUUUUUUCCUCAACAGAGAAAGCUUGGAGAAUGUUCCUUAACCCAGGAUAUAGAUUAUUUUUUAUUUCUGAAUUCAGUCUUUAGAUGUUUCUGGGAUCAAGAUGAAGGGGGUAUACCUUCUAAGGGAAACAUAGCAGUAAUCCUGAGGCCUCUUGACCAUAAAGUGCUAUUGUUUUAACAGUCUGUCAAUGAUCCUAAAAUCUCCUGGCUUUAGGAAUACUAUAAUAUAGUCUUAGAAACUUUUCUGACUGCCAGAUAAUCUGUUGAUCAGUGAUAAAGGGUUUUUGAGACAAAUGGUGAGGGGAAUACCAGACUACUCUUCAGCUCUACCUCUGGACCAUAAAAUUAUUCAUGACAUGAAAAACUAAAUCUCUUUGUCUUUUCUGAUGAAUUUGUCUUCUUUCUCCUGGUUCUUUGCUAAAUCCUUUUGGAAUUUAGCCCAUUUCAACUGCAUUACAAUUAUAAUUAAUUUUACACCUUGACCUGAAAAUGGGUUCUAGCCUGCAAAUUCUUUUGAGACACUUCACAACAUUGGUCUUCAACCCUAACCUUUUGGGAUCUCUCUUUUGAACAUCAACAAAGAGAUGCCCUCAGAGAAGCAGUUAUUCUCCCUGUCCCCAACCCUGAACCCCAUGGGCCCUUUUAUUUCCUUUUAUGACUUAGAUGGAGUUGGAACAGGAAUUCAGGCCUCUGUCCCUGCUUACUUCUCAG